rnacentral:rRNA from 1 species
UACGUAGGGGGCAAGCGUUGUCCGGAUUUAUUGGGCGUAAAGAGCGUGUAGGCGGCUUUACAGGUCCGUUGUGAAAACUCGAGGCUCAACCUCGAGACGUCGAUGGAAACCCCCAGGCUAGAGUCCGGAAGAGGAUAGUGGAAUUCCCAGUGUAGAGGUGAAAUUCGUAGAUAUUGGGAAGAACACCGGUGGCGAAGGCGGCUAUCUGGCCCGUAAUUGACGCUGAGGCGCGAAAGCGUGGGGAGCAAACAGG